rnacentral:rRNA from 1 species
AGAGUUUGAUCAUGGCUCAGAGCGAACGCUGGCGGCAGGCCUAAAACAUGCAAGUCGAACGCCGUAGCAAUACGGAGUGGCAGACGGGUGAGUAACACGUGGGAACGUGCCUUUUGGUUCGGAACAACUGAGGGAAACUUCAGCUAAUACCGGAUAAGCCCUUACGGGGAAAGAUUUAUCGCCAGAAGAUCGGCCCGCGUCUGAUUAGCUAGUUGGUGAGGUAACGGCUCACCAAGGCUACGAUCAGUAGCUGGUCUGAGAGGAUGAUCAGCCACACUGGGACUGAGACACGGCCCAGACUCCUACGGGAGGCAGCAGUUAGGAAUCUUGGACAAUGGGCGCAAGCCUGAUCCAGCCAUGCCGCGUGAGUGAUGAAGGCCUUAGGGUUGUAAAGCUCUUUCAGCGGGGAAGAUAAUGACGGUACCCGCAGAAGAAGCCCCGGCUAACUUCGUGCCAGCAGCCGCGGUAAUACGAAGGGGGCUAGCGUUGCUCGGAAUCACUGGGCGUAAAGCGCACGUAGGCGGCUUUCUAAGUCAGGGGUGAAAUCCUGGAGCUCAACUCCAGAACUGCCUUUGAUACUGGAGAGCUCGAGUCCGGAAGAGGUGAGUGGAACUCCGAGUGUAGAGGUGAAAUUCGUAGAUAUUCGGAAGAACACCAGUGGCGAAGGCGGCUCACUGGUCCGGUACUGACGCUGAUGUGCGAAAGCGUGGGGAGCAAACAGGAUUAGAUACCCUAGUAGUCC